UUAGUUACCUGGCCAGGGAGAGACCAUUAUCAUGAAGAUGAUUCUCCCAGGUUGAGGCUGGCCCAUUACACUUCAGAUGUGCUGAUGCCUGCAAUGUCCAUUAAUGCAGGAUACCUAACUGUAAAUAUUUGUGGGAGUAGGGUCUGUGUUCAUGCUCAUUUUU